rnacentral:rRNA from 1 species
AGUGAACGCUGGCGGUAGGCCUAACACAUGCAAGUCGAACGGCAGCACAGUAAGAGCUUGCUCUUACGGGUGGCGAGUGGCGGACGUGUGAGGAAUACAUCGUAAUCUACUUUUUCGUGGGGGAUAACGUAGGGAAACUUACGCUAAUACCGCAUACGACCUACGGUUGAAAGCAGGGGAUCUUCGGACCUUGCGCGAUUGAAUGAGCCGGUGUGGGAUUAGCUAGUUGGCGGGGUAAAGGCCCACCAGGGCGGCGAUCCGUAGCGGGUGGGAGAGGGUGGGGGGCGGCAGGGGGGGGGAGGGGGGGGCGAGGGGCCGGCGGGAGGGAGCAGUGGGGGAUGGGGGGCAGGGGGGGGGAGCCUGAGCCAGCCAGACCGCGUGGGUGAAAAAGGCCUUCGGGUUGUAAAGCCCUUUUGUUGGGAAAGAAAAGCAGCAGGUUAAUACCCCGCUGUUCUGACGGUACCCGAAGAAUAAGCACCGGCUAACUUCGUG